rnacentral:lncRNA from 1 species
AUGCCAGGCAGAUUCUCCCCCGGCUGCCAAGUGGCAGGCCAGCCUCCGCUUGUCCGCACCGAAAGCCGCCCUCCGUCUCCAGUUCCCCAUCCCGGACCUGCGGCCCUGGCCCGAGAGGCGGCCCGAGACCCAGAAGGCCGUGCGCAAGGAGAGCCUGCUCCUGGACCUCACCGCCGUGGAGUUCCACACGGAGCUCGGCCCGUCGGGCAUCACCAAGGUGGAGGUUUCCUGCAGCGACUUGCAUGGUUUGUACGAAGACGGCGAGAAGUUCUCGGUGCCCUGCUUCCGGGUUGGCAAAAGCCCCGAUUUGUCAGCCAAAACGACGGGAAAGAAAUACAUCAUUCCAAAGAUGGCCCUGACCCUCCGCCCCCGGGCCGGCGGUGUCCAAUGGGAUCCGUCCCUCCCAAAGCCCGAGGAGAUGGAGCUCUCCUCGGCCGAGAGCCCCUGCGAGCUGAAGCAGCCCGAGCCUUCGCCCUUCUCCUCCAAGCGGACCAUGUACGAGACCGAGGAGAUGGUGAUCCCCGGGGAUCCAGAAGAGAUGGCCAAAUUCCAGGCUCAGACGCUGGAGGCUUCCCAGUACGCGCUGGAGGUGUCCUUCCCCACAAUGCACCUCUUCCUCCCCAGCAAAGAGUUUUACGAGAGCAUCUACAACAGGAUCAACAACGACCUGUUGAUGUGGGUGCCCUACAGCCUGCCCCCCAGCCCCUCGGAGACACCACUGGGGUCCAGUUCCACAACGUCCCCUUUUGCCAGCGAAGGGCCUUCCUGCAUGCGAUGGCCGGAGAACUUCAAGAUGUGCAAGUCGGCCUUUAA